CGGACGGGUGAGUAAUGCUUGGGAAUCUAGCUUAUGGAGGGGGAUAACUACGGGAAACUGUAGCUAAUACCGCGUAAUAUCGAAAGAUUAAAGUGUGGGACCUUCGGGCCACAUGCCAUAAGAUGAGCCCAAGUGGGAUUAGGUAGUUGGUGAGGUAAAGGCUCACCAAGCCGACGAUCUCUAGCUGGUCUGGGAGGAUGACCAGCCACACUGGGACUGAGACACGGCCCAG
rnacentral:rRNA from 1 species